GAUGAACGCUGGCGGCGUGCCUAAUACAUGCAAGUCGAGCGAAUGGAUUAAGAGCUUGCUCUUAUGAAGUUAGCGGCGGACGGGUGAGUAACACGUGGGUAACCUGCCCAUAAGACUGGGAUAACUCCGGGAAACCGGGGCUAAUACCGGAUAACAUUUUGAACCGCAUGGUUCGAACUUGAAAGGCGGCUUCGGCUGUCACUUAUGGAUGGACCCGCGUCGCAUUAGCUAGUUGGUGAGGUAACGGCUCACCAAGGCAACGAUGCGUAGCCGACCUGAGAGGGUGAUCGGCCACACUGGGACUGAGACACGGCCCAGACUCCUACGGGAGGCAGCGGUAGGGAAUCUUCCGCAAUGGACGAAAGUCUGACGGAGCAACGCCACGUGAGUGAUGAAGGCUUUCGGGUCGUAAAACUCUGUUGUUAGGGAAGAACAAGUGCUAGUUGAAUAAGCUGGCACCUUGACGGUACCUAACCAGAAAGCCACGGCUAACUACGUGCCAGCAGCCGCGGUAA
rnacentral:rRNA from 1 species